rnacentral:piRNA from 1 species
UCUGGAACGUGUCCAACGAGGUGGUC